AUGAGGAGGAAUACGGCUUUCUGCAAGAGACACACUAUCUGUACUCAUGGCAUGCUUGGAGCUUCCAAGCCCUUGCACGGAGCUCUGCAGGGAGCUCUUCUUUCUGCUCAAGUUAUGCAUGAUGCACUUAGCUAUACAUUUGGAUUGUGCAGUCUUUACCUUGUGGACUGUAUCUGGGCCAUACUUACAGUUGUUCAUAUAUUCUUUUUGUGUUGCGGUCACCUCAGAGCUGUCCUUACUGUCUGUCCCCAGAGCUGGAUGUCAUGUCUGCUCUGUCAGGUAUUGCUAAUUGUUCAGAACUCAGCAAUGGAAGAGGUGGGCAGCUCUCUGUCUUCUGUCUGCCUGCAAACAUUGCAUAGGCACUCCCUCAGACAAGAACUGGAUGUGAGAGCGUUCUUGAACUCCUGCUGCCCCAUCAGUAGUGGGCAUUCUAGCCAAGAACAAAUCUAGUGCAGCUCCUGGGACAGCAAGUGAGGAUAUCCCACUGCUCCGUGCAGAUCAGGGCAGCUGAAACCUACUCACCUGCCCUUCUGGAAACAUGUGAGAUGGCUAAUGAGGUGCAGAUCCCUGGUGGUUUUGCAUGCUUUAAUAUGGAAUUUUAUGCUUGCUUUUCUCUUACUGGUCAGAAACCUAUGAAAUUACAGCUCUGCUUCUCUGAACAGGGCAGGUAUGGUGGGAGGACCUCCCAUGUUUGGGUCUUGCCACAUGGGAGAGGACUGCAGAAAUGCAUAUGGAAAUACGUUCCCUCUUUGUGGCUUGGCACUGAUGUAUUUAACAGGGGGAUCCUCUGCUCCUUCAACUGUCCCAGAACCCUAUUACCACAGUCUGUGGAAAGGGGCUGACUGCUACACAUGCCUUGUGGGAAGCCCAGGCACUGUACAGGAGGUGGGGUGGGAAUGAGUAGAGGGGCUGUGAGUGUAGGUGAGUGUGAUGCACCUGCUUACAAGAGGAUACUGCAGAAUUUGGAUGCACCUGUGAGGAAAAAAGGUAGUGGUCUGUGUGUGUAUGAUGCUAUUUAAGAGCGAAGAGAAUAAUUCUGCUUUUCUGCAGAAGUGAGAAGAAGGUUGUCUGCACACAGAACUUAAAUGUUCAAAAUGUAAUUUGCAAUGUGCUGGGGACUCACAAGGGUCAGGAGGAGCAAGUAUGCAAGCCUCUAACUCAUACAUGUCCUAGAGUCAGGAAGGAGUAAUCUAAAAGCAUCUUAAUGAGGGAGGCAGCACUCGCAAGAAUGCUGCAGCCCAGCUCCUGCUGCCUAGCUUUGCUACCAGUGUGGAUAUUUCCCUGCAAAGACCAAAAGGCCUCGUGCUGUCAGAUUAUGCCUGAGGACUUGUGCACAACACUGAUGCCAUCCAAAGUUAGGUGGAGCGCUCCCUUUGCACCCAUGGGUUUGUUGGUCAAGAGCAGCAGCACCCCUCUAUUCAAGCAGAGCAUGGCAUCAGGCAGAAUCAGG
rnacentral:lncRNA from 1 species